UUUAUGGAGAGUUUGAUCCUGGCUCAGGAUGAACGCUGGCGGCGUGCCUAAUACAUGCAAGUCGAGCGAACGGACGAGAAGCUUGCUUCUCUGAUGUUAGCGGCGGACGGGUGAGUAACACGUGGAUAACCUACCUAUAAGACUGGGAUAACUUCGGGAAACCGGAGCUAAUACCUGAUAAUAUUUUGAACCGCAUGGUUCAAAAGUGAAAGACGGUCUUGCUGUCACUUAUAGAUGGAUCCGCGCUGCAUUAGCUAGUUGGUAAGGUAACGGCUUACCAAGGCAACGAUGCAUAGCCGACCUGAGAGGGUGAUCGGCCACACUGGAACUGAGACACGGUCCAGACUCCUACGGGAGGCAGCAGUAGGGAAUCUUCCGCAAUGGGCGAAAGCCUGACGGAGCAACGCCGCGUGAGUGAUGAAGGUCUUCGGAUCGUAAAACUCUGUUAUUAGGGAAGAACAUAUGUGUAAGUAACUGUGCACAUCUUGACGGUACCUAAUCAGAAAGCCACGGCUAACUACGUGCCAGCAGCCGCGGUAAUACGUAGGUGGCAAGCGUUAUCCGGAAUUAUUGGGCGUAAAGCGCGCGUAGGCGGUUUUUUAAGUCUGAUGUGAAAGCCCACGGCUCAACCGUGGAGGGUCAUUGGAAACUGGAAAACUUGAGUGCAGAAGAGGAAAGUGGAAUUCCAUGUGUAGCGGUGAAAUGCGCAGAGAUAUGGAGGAACACCAGUGGCGAAGGCGACUUUCUGGUCUGUAACUGACGCUGAUGUGCGAAAGCGUGGGGAUCAAACAGGAUUAGAUACCCUGGUAGUCCACGCCGUAAACGAUGAGUGCUAAGUGUUAGGGGGUUUCCGCCCCUUAGUGCUGCAGCUAACGCAUUAAGCACUCCGCCUGGGGAGUACGACCGCAAGGUUGAAACUCAAAGGAAUUGACGGGGACCCGCACAAGCGGUGGAGCAUGUGGUUUAAUUCGAAGCAACGCGAAGAACCUUACCAAAUCUUGACAUCCUUUGACAACUCUAGAGAUAGAGCCUUCCCCUUCGGGGGACAAAGUGACAGGUGGUGCAUGGUUGUCGUCAGCUCGUGUCGUGAGAUGUUGGGUUAAGUCCCGCAACGAGCGCAACCCUUAAGCUUAGUUGCCAUCAUUAAGUUGGGCACUCUAAGUUGACUGCCGGUGACAAACCGGAGGAAGGUGGGGAUGACGUCAAAUCAUCAUGCCCCUUAUGAUUUGGGCUACACACGUGCUACAAUGGACAAUACAAAGGGCAGCGAAACCGCGAGGUCAAGCAAAUCCCAUAAAGUUGUUCUCAGUUCGGAUUGUAGUCUGCAACUCGACUACAUGAAGCUGGAAUCGCUAGUAAUCGUAGAUCAGCAUGCUACGGUGAAUACGUUCCCGGGUCUUGUACACACCGCCCGUCACACCACGAGAGUUUGUAACACCCGAAGCCGGUGGAGUAACCUUUUAGGAGCUAGCCGUCGAAGGUGGGACAAAUGAUUGGGGUGAAGUCGUAACAAGGUAGCCGUAUCGGAAGGUGCGGCUGGAUCACCUCCUUUCU
rnacentral:rRNA from 1 species